CGUUUUAAACUCUUCCGAGUUCCCGGGGCCUCCGCCUCUCUGUCUCUCUCUCUCUCGUUACUGGUUGUGGAUACAAAAACAAGUUGCUACCUUUUUGGCAUCUCUCUCUCUCUCUAACACAACACUAGCCACAACUCACCUCAAUCUUUUGGGUCUGCUUAGCAGGCCAUGGCUUCAAAGAAAAUAAUAGCCAUAUGCCAGUCAGGUGGUGAGUUUGUGACUAAUAAGGAUGGAACAUUGUCUUACAAUGGCGGUGAGGCUUAUGCAAUUGACAUUGAUGAACAAACACAAUUAAGUGAUUUCAAGUCUGAAGUAGCUGAAAUGUUCAAUUGCACUGCUGAUACAAUGUCUAUCAAAUACUUCCUCCCAGGAAACAAAAGGACCCUUAUCACUAUUUCUAAAGACAAGGAUCUACAACGCAUGCUCAAUUUUCUUGGGGACACGGUAACGGUUGAUGUCUUCAUCUUGUCAGAGGAAGUUGCUGCUAGGAAUGUGUCCAACAUGCCUGCUAGUAGGUCAAGCAGGACGACUGUGUCGGAAGCUGGGGUCGCUCUGGUCAACGUUGCACCUGUUGAUGUUCAUAUCGAUCUUGAUAGAGAUUUGGAUGUCCCUGAUGAAAAUCCUAUCUCCUGUACUCCUAUUGCAAUCUCUGAUGAGAAGCAUCGUAAAGCAGCACUACAGUGGGAAAACACUAUUACUGGUGUUGAUCAAAGGUUUAACAGUUUUACUGAAUUCAGAGAAGCUUUGCACAAGUACUCAAUUGCUCAUGGGUUUGCUUAUCGAUAUAAGAAAAAUGACAGUCAUCGUGUAACUGUCAAAUGCAAAUCCCAAGGUUGUCCUUGGCGGAUUUAUGCUUCCAGGUUGUCAACCACUCAAUUAAUUUGUAUUAAGAAAAUGAAUGCUGAACAUACAUGUGAAGGAGCUGCUGUGAAAGCUGGUUAUCGGUCAACGAGGGGUUGGGUGGGAAGCAUCAUAAAAGAGAAAUUGAAAGUUUCCCCAAACUACAGGCCAAAAGAUAUUGCAGAUGAUAUCAAAAGGGAGUAUGGGAUUCAACUGAAUUAUUCUCAGGCAUGGCGUGCAAAAGAGAUUGCAAGAGAGCAACUUCAAGGCUCAUACAAAGAGGCAUAUAAUCAGUUGCCCUUUUUUUGUGAUAAAAUAAGGGAAACUAAUCCAGGAAGUAUUGCAACAUUCUCCACAAAGGACGACUCAAGUUUCCAUCGUUUCUUUGUCUCCUUUCAUGCAUCAAUCACUGGUUUUGAACAGGGUUGUCGCCCUCUCAUUUUUCUGGAUAGCGCCCCUUUAAACUCAAAAUACCAAGGAAUGUUGUUGGCUGCUACUUCAGUAGAUGGGAAUGAUGGUAUUUUCCCUGUGGCUUUUGCUGUAGUAGAUGCUGAAACAGAGGACAACUGGAAUUGGUUUUUAAUGGAACUUAAGUCUGCUGUCUCUGCUUCUCGCCAGAUUACAUUUGUUGCAGAUUUUCAGAAUGGUUUAAAGAAGUCAUUGCCUGAGGUAUUUGAUAAAUGCUACCAUAGCUAUUGUUUGCGCCAUCUUGCUGAAAGACUCAAUAGAGACCUAAAAGGGCAAUUUUCUCAUGAAGCAAGGCGCUUCAUGAUAAAUGAUUUUUAUGCUGCUGCCUAUGCACCCAGACUUGAGGGAUUCCAGCGUUAUGUAGAGAACAUAAAAGGUAUUUCUCCUGAAGCUUAUAACUGGGUCGUACAAAGUGAGCCAGAGCACUGGGCAAAUGCCUUCUUUGGAGGAGCAAGGUAUAACCACAUGACAUCAAACUUUGGGCAACAGUUCUACAGUUGGGUGUCAGAAGCGCAUGAGUUGCCAAUAACGCAACUGAUUGAUACAUUAAGAGGCAAAAUGAUGGAAUCCUUUUACAAUUGUCGGGUAGAAUCCAAUCAAUGGACGACAAAAUUAACUCCAAUAAAUGAGGAGAAAUUGCAAAAGGAGAUGUUAGUAGCAAGGUCGCUUCAAGUGUUACUUUCCCAUGGUAGCACAUUUGAGGUUCGUGGAGAAUCUGUUGACAGUAUUGAUAUUGAUCACUGGGAUUGCAGCUGCAAGGGAUGGCAACUAACUGGUUUGCCUUGCUGCCAUGCUAUUGCUGUCUUUCAAUGUGUUGACAGAAGUCCAUAUGAUUAUUGCUCCAGAUACUUCACAAGUGAGAGUUACCGUUUAACAUACGCCGAAGCGAUUCACCCUGUUCCAAAUGUUGACUGGCCACUUCAGGGCGAAUCCAAUGAUGCAGGAGUUAUAGUCACGCCUCCACCAACUAAACGCCCACCUGGCAGGCCAAAGAUCAAGCAGGCUGAAUCUAUCGAUAUAAUUAAGCGCCAGCUUCAAUGUAGCAAGUGCAAGGGCCUUGGCCACAACAAGAAGACGUGCAAAGUUUCCUAGUGUACUGUGGAUGAUAGGGCAUCGGCACGUUAGAAGCUGGAGGUGAUGUAGGAAUCAGGAGAAAGAAGAAGCAGCAUGUUCUUAUCUUCCAAGAUUUAUGGUCGUUCGUGAUCAGAAGUGAGCAAGAUUCUCCUAGGACCGAUGGCUCACUGCGGAUUACACGUUGCUCGCUACCUGUCAUUUCCCAAGCUCUUUAAAACCCAGCAAACUCGUUUGCGGUUGUUUUCACAAUUCGCUUAUUAUUGCUCGUACUUGUGCUGCACGAUAUAGUCGCCAUCUCUCACAUUGAAAAUUAGGAGCACUGUAGAUCAGCAGCAGCAUUAACACAAGGACCGCAGAUGAUGAUAAUGGCAUUUAAGAGACAGUCUCGGGUGUUGGUUUGGCUGGGGAUUGUGAUGGCGGUUAUGUAUUUUGCAAGUUGUAAUUGCUCGAGCGUCGACCAUAUGCCCUCCACAAGCGAGGAAAGUGAAGAUUUUCAGAAGGUGAAAGGAAAGGGUGAAGAAGCAGAGGAAAAGGCAGCAGAGAAA